rnacentral:rRNA from 1 species
UACGUAGGGGGCUAGCGUUAUCCGGAAUUACUGGGCGUAAAGGGUGCGUAGGCGGUCUUUCAAGCCAGAGGUGAAAGGCUACGGCUCAACCGUAGUAAGCCUUUGAAACUGGGAAACUUGAGUGCAGGAGAGGAGAGUGGAAUUCCUAGUGUAGCGGUGAAAUGCGUAGAUAUUAGGAGGAACACCAGUUGCGAAGGCGGCUCUCUGGACUGUAACUGACACUGAGGCACGAAAGCGUGGGGAUCAAACAGGAUUAGAUACCCUGGUAGUCCCUGA